rnacentral:rRNA from 1 species
GAUGAACGCUGGCGGCGUGCUUAACACAUGCAAGUCGAACGGAAAGGCUCCUGCUUGCAGGGGUACUCGAGUGGCGAACGGGUGAGUAACACGUGGGUGAUCUGCCCUGCACUUCGGGAUAAGCCUGGGAAACUGGGUCUAAUACCGGAUAGGACGAUGGUUUGGAUGCCAUUGUGGAAAGUUUUUCGGUGUGGGAUGAGCUCGCGGCCCAUCAGCUUGUUGGUGGGGUAAUGGCCUACCAAGGCGUCGACGGGUAGCCGGCCUGAGAGGGUGUACGGCCACAUUGGGACUGAGAUACGGCCCAGACUCCUACGGGAGGCAGCAGUGGGGAAUAUUGCACAAUGGGCGCAAGCCUGAUGCAGCGACGCCGCGUGGGGAAUGACGGCCUUCGGGUUGUAAACUCCUUUCGCUAGGGACGAAGCGCAAGUGACGGUACCUGGAGAAGAAGCACCGGCUAACUACGUG